GGGCGUGCCUAAUACAUGCAAAGUCGAAACGAUAAAGAAUUUCUAGCUUGCUAGAGAUUGAGUAGUGGCGCACGGGUGAGUAAUGCAUAGAUACAUGCCCUUUAGUCUGGGAUAGCCAUUGGAAAACGAUGAUUAAUACUAGAUACUCCUACGGGGGGGAAAGAAUUUCGCUAAAGGAUUGGUCUAUGUCCUAUCAGCUUGUUGGUAAGGUAAUGGCUUACCCAAGGCUAUGACGGGGUAUCCGGCCUGAGAGGGUGAACGGACACACUGGAACUGAGACACGGUCCAGACUCCUACGGGAGGCAGCAGUAGGGAAUAUUGCUCAAUGGGGGAAACCCUGAAGCAGCAACGCCGCGUGGAGGAUGAAGGUUUUAGGAUUGUAAACUCCUUUUCUAAGAGAAGAUUAUGACGGUAUCUUAGGAAUAAGCACCGGCUAACUCCGUGCCAGCAGCCGCGGUAAU
rnacentral:rRNA from 1 species